rnacentral:rRNA from 1 species
GAUGAACGCUGGCGGCGUGCCUAAUACAUGCAAGUAGAACGCUGAAGGAAGGAGCUUGCUCUUUCCGGAUGAGUUGCGAACGGGUGAGAAACGCGUAGGUAACCUGCCUGGUAGCGGGGGAUAACUAUUGGAAACGAUAGCUAAUACCGCAUAACAGUAGAUGUUGCAUGAUAUCUACUUAAAAGGUGCAAUUGCACCACUACCAGAUGGACCUGCGUUGUAUUAGCUAGUUGGUGAGGUAACGGCUCACCAAGGCGACGAUACAUAGCCGACCUGAGAGGGUGAUCGGCCACACUGGGACUGAGACACGGCCCAGACUCCUACGGGAGGCAGCAGUAGGGAAUCUUCGGCAAUGGACGGAAGUCUGACCGAGCAACGCCGCGUGAGUGAAGAAGGGUUUCGGAUCGUAAAGCUCUGUUGUAAGAGAAGAACGAGUGUGAGAGUGGAAAGUUCACACUGUGACGGUAGCUUACCAGAAAGGGACGGCUAACUACGUG